rnacentral:rRNA from 1 species
UCAGUCGACUCCUACGGGGAGGCAGCAGUGGGGAAUAUUGCACAAUGGGGGAAACCCUGAUUCAGCCAUGCCGCGUGUGUGAAGAAGGCCUUCGGGUUGUAAAGCACUUUCAGUAGGGAGGAAGGUAGUGUAGUUAACACCUGCACUAUUUGACGUUACCUACAGAAGAAGCACCGGCUAACUCCGUGCCAGCAGCCGCGGUAAUACGGAGGGUGCGAGCGUUAAUCGGAAUUACUGGGCGUAAAGCGCAUGCAGGCGGCCUGUUAAGUCAGAUGUGAAAGACCCGGGGCUUAACCUCGGAAUUGCAUUUGAAACUGGCAGGCUAGAGUCUUGUAGAGGGGGGUAGGAAUUUCAGGUGUAGCGGUGAAAUGCGUAGAGAUCUGAAGGAAUACCAGUGGCGAAGGCGGCCCCCUGGACAAAGACUGACGCUCAGAUGCGAAAGCGUGGGGAGCAAACAGGAUUAGAUACCCUGGUAG